rnacentral:tRNA from 1 species
GGGAAGGUUGCUCAAUGGUAGAGGGCUUGCCUUGCAUGCAUGAGGCCCUGGGUUCGAUUCCUCAGCCACCACA